rnacentral:rRNA from 1 species
AUUGAACGCUGGCGGCAUGCCUUACACAUGCAAGUCGAACGGCAGCACGGGAGCAAUCCUGGUGGCGAGUGGCGAACGGGUGAGUAAUAUAUCGGAACGUGCCCAGUCGUGGGGGAUAACGCAGCGAAAGCUGUGCUAAUACCGCAUACGAUCUACGGAUGAAAGCGGGGGAUCGCAAGACAUCGCGCGAUUGGAGCGGCGGAAAUCAGAUUAGCUAGUUGGGGAGGUAAAGGCUCACCAAGGCGACGAUCUGUAGCUGGUCUGAGAGGACGACCAGCCACACUGGAACUGAGACACGGUCCAGACUCCUACGGGAGGCAGCAGUGGGGAAUUUUGGACAAUGGGCGCAAGCCUGAUCCAGCAAUGCCGCGUGCAGGAUGAAGGCCUUCGGGUUGUAAACUGCUUUUGUACGGAACGAAACGGUGAGCUCUAAUACAGUUUGCUAAUGACGGUACCGUAAGAAUAAGCACCGGCUAACUACGUGCCAGCCGCCGCCGUAACAC